rnacentral:rRNA from 1 species
CCCUUAGAUGAUCUGGGCUGCACGCGCGCUACACUGAUUGUGCCACACUGACUAUUAUUCCUAGGGCGAAAAGCACUGGGUAAACAGUAAACACAUAUCGUGCUUUGGAAUAAAUUGUUGUAAUUCGUGAUUUUGAACGAGGAAUUCCUAGUAAGUAACAGUCAUCAACUGUUGUUGAUUACGUCCCUGCCCUUUGUACACACCGCCCGUCGCUCCUACCGAUGGAACGAUCCGGUGAAAACUCUGGAUUGGAGGGUUUGGUUGUUGCUUUGCAACACUACCCUUCGAGAAAUUGUUUGAAUCUUAUCGUUUAGAGGAAGGAGAAGUCGUAACAA